rnacentral:rRNA from 1 species
CCUACGGGAGGCAGCAGUGAGGAAUAUUGGUCAAUGGGCGAGAGCCUGAACCAGCCAAGUCGCGUGAGGGAAGACGGUCCUAUGGAUUGUAAACCUCUUUUGCCGGGGAGCAAAAAGCGGUACGUGUACCGCAUCGAGAGUACCCGGAGAAAAAGCAUCGGCUAACUCCGUGCCAGCAGCCGCGGUAAUACGGAGGAUGCGAGCGUUAUCCGGAUUUAUUGGGUUUAAAGGGUGCGCAGGCGGCGGGUUAAGUCAGCGGUAAAAUUUCGGGGCUCAACCCCGACAAGCCGUUGAAACUGGCGGGUGAGAGGGGGCGAGAAGAGUGCGGAAUGCGGGGGGGAGCGGUGAAAUGCAAAGAUAUCGCGCAGAACUCCGAUGGGGAAGGCAGCAUACCGG